rnacentral:rRNA from 1 species
ACGCUCGACACCUACGGGAGGUAGCAGUGGGGAAUAUUGCACAAUGGGGGAAACCCUGAUGCAGCGACGCCGCGUGGAGGAAGAAGGUCUUCGGAUUGUAAACUCCUGUUGUUGGGGAAAAAGAGGAUGGUACCCAACAAGGAAGUGACGGCUAACUACGUGCUAGCAGCUGCGGUAAUCUGAGCGGGCUGGCAAGGC